rnacentral:rRNA from 1 species
GGGUGAGUAACACGUGGAUAGCCUACCUAUAAGACUGGGAUAAACUUCGGGAAACCCGGAGCUAAUACCGGAUAAUAUUUUGAACCGCAUGGUUCAAAAGUGAAAGACGGUCUUGCUGUCACUUAUAGAUGGAUCCGCGCUGCAUUAGCUAGUUGGUAAAGGUAACGGCUUACCAAGGCAACGAUGCAUAGCCGACCUGAAGAGGGUGAUCGGCCACACUGGAACUGAGACACGGUCCAGACUCCUACGGGAGGCAGCAGUAGGGAAUCUUCCGCAAUGGGCGAAAGCCUGACGGAGCAACGCCGCGUGAGUGAUGAAGGUCUUCGGAUCGUAAAACUCUGUUAUUAGGGAAGAACAUAUGUGUAAGUAACUGUGCACAUCUUGACGGUACCUAAUCAGAAAGCCACGGCUAACUACGUGCCAGCAGCCGCGGUAAUACGUAGGUGGCAAGCGUUAUCCGGAAUUAUUGGGCGUAAAGCGCGCGUAGGCGGUUUUUUAAGUCUGAUGUGAAAGCCCACGGCUCAACCGUGGAGGGUCAUUGGAAACUGGAAAACUUGAGUGCAGAAGAGGAAAGUGGAAUUCCAUGUGUAGCGGUGAAAUGCGCAGAGAUAUGGAGGAACACCAGUGGCGAAGGCGACUUUCUGGUCUGUAACUGACGCUGAUGUGCGAAAGCGUGGGGAUCAAACAGGAUUAGAUACCCUGGUAGUCCACGCCGUAAACGAU